CAUACUUCGCCGUGUCCAGCGGCUAUGUCUUCGCGAGGAGUUAGAAGCGUUUGCAGUCGGCCUGGCAUUUGGGUGUCUGCUGCUUUGUUUCUCCAGGAAUAGUGAUCACAUCUGAGACUCACACCCAGCUUUGCGACUCCAGGCAUGUGUGUAAAUGUGGAACUUCGGGGAGAGAAGAAAAUGUUUCCUACUUUGUACGUGAAGAAGAUAGUCUGUUAACAUUUGUACAGAUUUCUCUGAAAAUACUUGUUCUAAUUAUGAAAGCAGAACACGUUUGUUCUAGGAUACCUGAAGUGUGCGGAGGAGUGCGGUAAUCCCGCGUCUCAGUGAGAUCUGCUCAUAUUUCGUAUUGUCUUUUACUCCUCAUACGUGUGAAUAUUUACAAUAAAAAUUGGAAUGAUAAAA